UACGUAGGGGGCAAGCGUUGUCCGGAUUUACUGGGCGUAAAGAGCGUGUAGGCGGCCAAACAGGUCCGUUGUGAAAACUGGAGGCUCAACCUCCAGACGUCGACGGAAACCGUAUGGCUAGAGUCCGGAAGAGGAGAGUGGAAUUCCUGGUGUAGCGGUGAAAUGCGCAGAUAUCAGGAAGAACACCAAUGGCGAAGGCAGCUCUCUGGGACGGUACUGACGCUGAGACGCGAAAGCGUGGGGAGCGAACAGG
rnacentral:rRNA from 2 species